AAAAAAAAAAAAAGUGGCCGUUACGACCUUUACAUAAUGGUCAGUGACGGCCAGCCAUUAUAGUUGCAAUUUUAAAAAUCUUUUAAAUAACAGUAGUAACGGUAGCUGGACAAAGAUGCCUUUAAAUAAUGGCCAUUUUGUAACGUAACAACCUUUAUUUAACGUAAUGGCUGUUAUUUAAAACCUUGUAGAUCAGCUUAGUCUUUGGAGGGGCAGAGUAGAUUAGCAGGAUGGUGGUGAGUAGUGUAAGGGUGGAGACUAGAUAAGAGAGAGGAGGCUGUUGUUUUUGCAGCUGCUGUAGAGGAAGAGGAGUUUUUUUGAGGGGAUGAAGUGAAG
rnacentral:misc_RNA from 1 species